UACAGAGGGUGCAAGCGUUAAUCGGAAUUACUGGGCGUAAAGCGUGCGUAGACGGUCAUGUAAGUCGGGUGUGAAAGCCCCGGGCUCAACCUGGGAAUUGCAUUCGAGACUGCAUGGCUAGGGUGCGGAAGAGGGAAGCGGAAUUUCCGGUGUAGCGGUGAAAUGCGUAGAUAUCGGAAGGAACACCAGUGGCGAAAGCGGCUUCCUGGUCCAGCACUGACGUUCAGGCACGAAAGCGUGGGGAGCAAACAGG
rnacentral:rRNA from 1 species